GGCUGUAACUCAGUGGUAGAGUGCUUGCCUUGCACAUGUGAGGUUCUGAGUUCAAUCUUGAGCAGCACA
rnacentral:tRNA from 1 species